CGUCCAAGAGCUUCAUGUUGAAGUCCUUCAAUUAGAGAAAGAGAAGGCAGAAAUCGAGAAGGAAAACCUUCUUUUACAACAGCAAAAAUUAAAGCUGCAGAUACACCUUCUUGAGAGAAAAGUGAAUGCUGCCGAAAAUAAUGAGCCGUUUCAAUGCCCUCUUUCUCCAAUAUACUAGUUACUGUGACUGGGUAAUACCACAUUGAACAAAUUCGUUUGAAGAGUGAGUAUAUCAUGCAAAGAGAUCCUUUGUGCACUUGGCAUCCCAGAAAAUGGCUGUAGCGUUUGCAUGGGUUGUAAUUUGCCUGUGCUUUCUCCUGUAUACAUUUUUUCACAAU